rnacentral:rRNA from 1 species
AUACGUAGGGUGCAAGCGUAUCCGGAAUAUUGGGCGUAAAGGGCUCGUAGGCGGUUCGUCGCGUCCGGUGUGAAAGUCCAUCGCUUAACGGUGGAUCCGCGCCGGGUACGGGCGGGCUUGAGUGCGGUAGGGGAGACUGGAAUUCCCGGUGUAACGGUGGAAUGUGUAGAUAUCGGGAAGAACACCAAUGGCGAAGGCAGGUCUCUGGGCCGUUACUGACGCUGAGGAGCGAAAGCGUGGGGAGCGAACAGGAUUAGAUACCCUGGUAGUCCACGCCGUAAACGGUGGAUGCUGGAUGUGGGGCCCGUUCCACGGGUUCCGUGUCGGAGCUAACGCGUUAAGCAUCCCGCCUGGGGAGUACGGCCGCAAGGCUAAAACUCAAAGAAAUUGACGGGGGCCCGCACAAGCGGCGGAGCAUGCGGAUUAAUUCGAUGCAACGCGAAGAACCUUACCUGGGCUUGACAUGUUCCCGACGGUCGUAGAGAUACGGCUUCCCUUCGGGGCGGGUUCACAGGUGGUGCAUGGUCGUCGUCAGCUCGUGUCGUGAGAUGUUGGGUUAAGUCCCGCAACGAGCGCGACCCUCGCCCCGUGUUGCCAGCGGAUUAUGCCGGGAACUCACGGGGGACCGCCGGGGUUAACUCGGAGGAAGGUGGGGAUGACGUCAGGUCAUCAUGCCCCUUACGUCCAGGGCUUCACGCAUGCUACAAUGGCCGGUACAACGGGAUGCGACGCGGCGACGCGGAGCGGAUCCCUGAAAACCGGUCUCAGUUCGGAUCGCAGUCUGCAACUCGACUGCGUGAAGGCGGAGUCGCUAGUAAUCGCGAAUCAGCAACGUCGCGGUGAAUGCGUUCCCGGGCCUUGUACACACCGCCCGUCAAGUCAUGAAAGUGGGCAGCACCCGAAGCCGGUGGCCUAACCCCUUGUGGGAUGGAGCCGUCUAAGGUGAGGCUCGUGAUUGGGACU